rfam:Gossypium hirsutum cultivar TM-1 chromosome 2, whole genome shotgun sequence
AAACCAUGCAUCGGGCAUUUUCUCAGUAACUCCUAAAACCACUCCCAUGCUUCAUAUAAUGCUUCAUCCUCUGAUUGUCUAAACGAUGUAAUAGCCUUCCUCAACUU